GGUGUGUGUUUCUGCAUUUCCUGACUAGACUACAGGCAUCUGUAAAUAUUUCAGAAAACAGAGUGGGAAAGAAUUACUCUAUAGAAAGUAUAGAUCUUUUCUGAGAUCUUUUCUGAGAUCUUUUCUCACAAGGAAUGAGUUCUACUGCCUCAGUGACUACAUUAUGAAAGCAUGUUAUACAAUUCUCUGUUGAUACCCAUAGACAGAUGUAUUUAGGGUUUUUGGAAACUUCAUGUAAUUUAGGCAUAAAACUUGAAGUGUGUUUAUAGUUCCUCAUUAAUAAUAGUUGAGAAUUAUGCUCAUCUAAGGCACCACACAUAAAUUCUUAAUGUUCAAACAUUCAUUAUAUGCAUGUGAUGGUUAGAAGUUGCCAUAGGAAGAUAAAAGCCAGUGAUCUCAAAGGUUACUUUUUAUACAUUCUUUUAAGCAAUUUGGAAAAUUGUCUUCAUCCCCUAACACUUCUUUCCCUUCUGCUUCCAUGUACUUCCACUUAAUCUAAAGAUACAAUAGUGAAUAUUGAAAAAGCCAAAUCAGGAACAAGACAAACUUUUUAUCGAUGAAGUUUUCAUUAAGUGUGGCAGCACCUUAUAAAAGGAAUUGCUGAAUCCAUCAUUUUAUGGAGGUUAUAAAUCCAGGUGGUUUUUUGCAAUCACAAUUUACAGAUCUCAAUAGUGUUCACUUGCAUCAUAUGUGAAGACAGCUAUGGCAUAGUUGCAGGUGGCUAGAUGAAAGCUUAAUAUAUGUAUGUUGGCUUUACACCUAUGAAGCAGGUGCAAAGGCAGAAGUUCUUUUCUUGCUUUCCUGGCCAGGACGUAAUUUGUGUUGCAAAUUAAAGUCAUUCAUUUUCAAUUUUUUUCUAACUUUCCAACAGCUGAACUGUAUAUGUAGAGACAUGAAAAUGCAAAACUUUCAGUCUAAGAACAGAAUAAGAAUGAGAGUAAUUGGAUUUUCCACAUAUUUGUGAUUUCUUUCAGUGAAUAUUAAAGAAAAAAAUUUGGGCUGAAACCUUGCAGUAGAUGGGACCAAAAAAGGUACAUUUUCUUCCAGAGUCAUAUGGUGACCAGAUCUCUUACACGGUGAGCAGAAGAAAAUCAAACCAAAUGUGUUGCCAUGUUCGAACAGACAGUUCAGCUGGCACACAUACUUACUGUUUCCUUGAUCCAGAUACAAAAUUGCUUCUUCUGGAGAAGUGUUAUGUGUAGAUCCCAAGGUAAGUUUUCUUGAAG
rnacentral:lncRNA from 1 species